GCAGCGCAUAAACCGUGCCGCUGCAAGUAUCCAGGACGAGAUAGAAUAAGAAGAGGCGGGCGCGUCGCCGUGUCUGGGCGAGCACGAAUUCCAUCGCGUCGCGAUCGGGUUGCUUAGAAAGCCAGUCGCACUCCCAGGCCUGGCUCAACGCAUCGAAGAUGGCAAGAUACCAUAUAGAAGCGGUAAAACGAACUAAGCGUAUAAGAAGGCGGCAAAGUCCUUCCACGGCCUGCGUCUCUCUCUCUCUCUCUCUUCCCCUGGCCGGAGGCCGAACAUCUCGAGCCUAGCCGCUCGAGCAACAACCCGUUUCACCCGAUCUCGCGCUCGGAACGUGUUGGUCUGGACCGAGUUGCCAAGUUACAU